rnacentral:rRNA from 1 species
GACGAACGCUGGCGGCGUGCUUAACACAUGCAAGUCGUACGGUAAGGCCCUUUCGGGGGUACACGAGUGGCGAACGGGUGAGUAACACGUGAGUAACCUGCCCACAACUUUGGGAUACGCUAGGAAACUGGGGCUAAUACUGGAUAUGUGCUCCUGCUGCAUGGGGGGGGGUGGGAAGCUCCGGCGGUUGUGGAUGGACUCGCGGCCUAUCAGCUUGUUGGUGGGGUAGUGGCCUACCAAGGCGGCGACGGGGAGCCGGCCUGGGAGGGUGACCGGCCACAUUGGGACUGAGAUACGGCCCAGACUCCUACGGGAGGCAGCAGUGGGGAAUAUUGCACAAUGGGCGCAAGCCUGAUGCAGCAACGCCGCGUGCGGGAUGACGGCCUUCGGGUUGUAAACCGCUUUCAGCAGGGACGAAGCUUUUUGUGACGGUACCUGCAGAAGAAGCACCGGCUAACUACGUG